AAGGAUCAUUAAUGAUUGCGAAUGGUCACCUUCGGUGCUGGCUCGCAAGAGCAAGUGCACGUUGGUGGCUUUCAUCCAAUUCCACACCCUGUGAACCUUUGGCCUCUUGCUAGCCUCGGCUGGCAGAGGAUUUUACAUAUACUCGAAUGUAAUGAAAACUAUUGUUGUGCGCAAGCACUAAUAUACAACUUUCAACAACGGAUCUCUUGGCUCUCGCAUCGAUGAAGAACGCAGCCGAAACGCGACGACAAAGACGACGCCGAAAUGGACCGGGUCACCGCCGAGGCUGCGCACGAGCGGCAGGAAGAUCGGCGUCAGCAUGAUGAUGAGCAUGGUU
rnacentral:misc_RNA from 1 species